UCCCUCGUGGUUCAAUGGUUAAGAUUCUGCACUUCCAUUGCAGGGGUUGCAGGUUCAAUCCCUGCUUGGGGAA
rnacentral:tRNA from 1 species